rnacentral:rRNA from 1 species
GACGAACGCUGGCGGCGUGCUUAACACAUGCAAGUCGAACGGAAAGGCCCUGCUUUUGUGGGGUGCUCCAGUGGCGAACGGGUGAGUAACACGUGAGUAACCUGCCCUUGACUUUGGGAUAACUUCAGGAAACUGGGGCUAAUACCGGAUAGGAGCUCCUGCUGCAUGGUGGGGGUUGGAAAGUUUCGGCGGUUGGGGAUGGACUCGCGGCUUAUCAGCUUGUUGGUGGGGUAGUGGCUUACCAAGGCUUUGACGGGUAGCCGGCCUGAGAGGGUGACCGGCCACAUUGGGACUGAGAUACGGCCCAGACUCCUACGGGAGGCAGCAGUGGGGAAUAUUGCACAAUGGGCGGAAGCCUGAUGCAGCAACGCCGCGUGCGGGAUGACGCCCUUCGGGUUGUAAACCGCUUUCGCCUGUGACGAAGCGUGAGUGACGGUAAUGGGUAAAGAAGCACCGGCUAACUACGUG